UUUUUAUUUUUUUAUUUUUUUUUAAUUUUUUUUAAUUUUUAUUUAUUUAUGAUAGUUACAGAGAGAGAGAGAGGCAGAGACACAGGCAGAGGGAGAAGCAGGCUCCAUGCACCGGGAGCCCGAUGUGGGAUUCGAUCCCGGGUCUCCAGGAUCGCGCCCUGGGCCAAAGGCAGGCACCAAACCGCUGCGCCACCCAGGGAUCCCGAUGAUUUCUUUUUAGUAGCUUCAAAAGAGAAGAAGUGUGCUGACCAGGCAUCUUUCACCAUGCAGUGGUUGCUGUCCUUCCUACUUUCUGUCCUCUCAAGCCCCCUUUGCUCCUCUCUGUUCCCAAGCCUGACCUUACAGCCUCAUAGCCUGUUAUCCCUACAUACACAAGCACCAUAUCCAUUCUCAUCCCUGCCCCCGUUGUCUUCAAUUAUCUUUAGUUUAAGAAAAUAGCAGUCAGUCUCUGUGGACCACAAGUAAGGAAAUCAAUAGAAUACCCAUGAGAUAGAAGUGAAUAUUCAAAAGAUAAUUUGUAAACUCUUUCUGAUUUCAUUGGAAAUACAUGUGAGAGGGAAAUUGAUAGGGUGUUUCUAUACUAUAUGAAGAAAUAGACCUCACAAACUAUAAAGAAACAUUUUUAGAUUUUUCCCUUUUAAAUAUUUUCAGCAUGUUUUGGGAAAAUGGUAGCCAGAUUUUUAAAGAAAAAGAUGCGGGGUACCUGGGUGGCUCAGUGGUUGAGUAUAUGCCUUUGGCUCAGGUCAUGAUCCCAGGAUCCUGAGAUUGAGUUCCAUGUCAUGCUCCUCUCAGGGAGCCUGCUUCUCCCUCUGCCUAUGUCUCUGCCUCUCUGUGUCUCUCAUAAAUAAAUAAGUAAAUCUUUAAAAUAAAGAAAGAAAGAAAAGAAAAAAGGUGCCGUUGUUGAUGUAAGAGUCUGUCCCUCUACUUUAGCAGGGAUAUUAAUAGAUAAAACCAGGGUUUUUAAACUUGACAUAUUAUGAAACCUGAAACACUAAAAAAAUUCGCAAGGUUAGGGGCACCUAGGUGGCUCAGUCAGUUAAACAUCUGACUCUUGGUUUUGGCUUAGGUCAUGCUCUCAGGGUCAUGAGAUUGAGCCCCACCUCGGACUCUGCUCUCAGCGAGGAGUCUGCUUGAGAUUUUCUCUCUCCCUCUCCUUCUGCCCCUCCUCCUCCCUGCCCCCCGGGGCCCCCACACAUGCAGAUGCACACACAUGUGCUCUCUUGCUCUCUCGCUCUCUCUCACUCAAAUAAAUAAAUAAAUCUUUAAAAAAUAGUUUUGCUAGGUUAGAGAGAGUUCUGAAUAAAAGACCAAAUGAUCAUAGUAAUGACAGUGAAGUAAGUGGAUGAGACAAGAGAACAUGUCAUCACUGGUCCCAAUUAAUACUUUUGUUGACAAGCAGCUGAGUCAUGACAUGGCAGUGAGCAAAGAACUGAAUGAGUAGAGAGAAGCUCAUGGAUGAGAGAAGACACAUAAGAAAUCAAAAUGAUAUAGACAAAGUUGGAUAAUGACUCUACUUGAUUACUAUCAGUUAUUAAUAUUACUAACACACUUUCCUAUGUAUUACCAAUUUUGGGGGGGGGGAUUUACCUUUGAUAUAUGUUUCUCACUUUAAAUUUUUUUAAUAUUAUAGAAAAAAACUCUCAAAGAUUGUGAAUUCUGGGAUAUGAUAAUUUACCAUACUAUGGGCAACACAGAGCUAAGACUGAAUGGGAUACAUGUGUGAUGUAUUUGUGAGAGAGACAAGCAUAAGUAUAAAGAAAAGCAAGGGGGUGGGAGGAAUGGAUGGAAAUUCAAGCCUGAAUUGCCUGAACCAAGCUUCAUGCUGGAAAGAAAUGAAAGCCAACAUAAAGAUUGCAAACACUUAAGGAGUAUUGGGAAAGAAAAACAUAACAGAAUUUUAUAAGAGCUCUGGGAGACAUACAUGUUAAAGAGAAAAAAGAGCCAGCAAAAUAUAAAAAUAUAAAAUAUCCUUCUUUACUGAAGAAGGAGCAAGAGAACCAAAAGAAUACAUUAUAAUUGCAGUAAAAAGAGAUUCAGGAAAAGGCUGCACACAUGUCAAGGAAAUUGCUGAGAGAGGAGAGGCUUACAAAUUGAGUCAUACAUAAACAUAUUAUUACAUUGCUAAAUUUUCCCUGAUUUUUAAUUAAAAGACAUUCAUCAUUCAAUUUGAUGAAAUUCUGAAAAGCAUUUGGAAGAUACCAAAGAUCUAUUGAUGACAUUUCACCACAACAUAAUUAUUUCUGGAGAACAUGCUGAAUAUACACAUGUCGAUUUUCGUGUGGACAUGGAGACUUGUUACCAUCAAAAGGUGUGUGCUUGACCAGCAUGGGUGAAACAAAAAGAAUUGAGUCCACAGUUAAUCCUAGGAGUAGUUCUGUAUAAUUGUGAUUUGUUUCAUUAUUGUACAUGGCAAGAAAAGCACUUUGGAGUCAAAGAAGCUUGGGUUCAAAUAUGAGCUCAGUUCAGCUUUUUCCUAGGUGUGUGACUGCAGACAGCUUCAGUACUCCCACCUGUAAAAGGUGCACUUGAUAGUGUCUCUUUAUGGCUGAUGAAGUGUUUAAAACUGGAGUUAUUGGGGAUCCCUGGGUGGCUCAGCAGUUUAGCCUGCCUUUGGCUCAGGGCGCGGCCCUGCAGUCCCGGAUCGAGUCCUGCGUCGGGCUCCCGGCAUAGAGCCUGCUUCUCCCUCCUCCUGUGUCUCUGCCUCUCUUUCUGUGUGUGUCACAUUAGUAAAUAAGUAAAAUAUUAAAAAAGAAAACUGGAGUUAUUUUUUAAAAUACCUAUACCAAUGUAGUAAGAGUUUAAAAGCUCCAGCUUGCUAUUUCCUCCCUUCCUUGACCCCUACCACUAUCAGAAAACAAACAAGGUAGAGCCUCCCAACUGAUACUCAAAUUGAAAUCUUAAAAUCCCAUUUCAGAUUAAUCCAUCUGGCCAAAGACUGUGUACUAUUUUAGAAAUUUAAAAAUACUGAAAGAUAACACAUUCGGUCUGUCAGUCUCUUCUACCUCAGUGGACACAUUUAUGAAAUCCUUGGCUGAGAGCGUCUUUUAACGGAGGCAGAAAGCCCAUGAAAACCCUAAAUCCAUUUGCAGUGGUAGCAUAAAUGCAUCAUCCUGAGAUGUCGAACCCGAGGGCACAGACAGAUUUUAUCUCCUUUAUGGUUAUUCCCUAGGGACUAACUUAGAGACUUUGGGAAGUAUCAUUUGGGGUGGGGGUAAGAUCCAUUUGAUAUUUAACAUUUAUGAUUUUCUAGAGUGCCAUAAGGGUAAAAUAUAAAAGCCUUUAUUAAUAUUCAAGCAUUUGUAAUACAUUUUUAUUUAUACAUAGCCUUUAUUCCCAGAGCUCUUGGGACUUUGCAGACACAUUACAAUUCAGACUCAAUUUACCUUCACAAGUGUGUCACUAAAGUGUAUAAGGAGGCAGUAUAAUUCUAUUAUCUUCAGAUUACAGAUACAGAAGAAAAAAAAAAAGCAGAGACAGAUAAAGUAAUUUAUCUAUGGCCUCACUACACGUAAGUAGUUGAGCAGGGAAUAGAACCAGUCAUGUAAUAGAUAUCUCUUCUGUCAGAUAAGGACACCAGUGUCCCAUCCCAGCUGGAAACUGUCUUUUUCUGAACCCUUACUACCAACUUGAUGAAAAGAUGGGAAGAUGGGAUCCUAUUCAGGGAAAUAAAAAUAAAUAGUUCAGUCUCCAACACAUCACUGCAGAUACAACUGCUAUGGAUUUGGUCGCUGUUAGGUAAGGCACUGUUUGUUGAGGCUAAAGUUCAGAGCGGCUUUCUGUCCAUUAGAUGAGCAUUUGUGUAUCAUAUAGAACCUGCAGGGCCCCUCCUUUGCUGACCUUCCCACCAAACCCUUCCCUUUUAAAAAUUUUUAAAAUUAUUUUUUAAAAUUCUACUAUAGUUAACAUACAGUGUUCCUUAGUUUCAGGUACAAUAUAGUGACUCAACAAUUCUAUACAUUAUUCGGUGCUCAUCAUGAUAAGUGUGGUUUUUAAUCCCCAUCACCUAAUUUACCCACUCUCCCCCCACCUCCUGUCUGGUACAACAGUUUGUUCUUUAUAGUUAAAAGAAUGCUUCUUGGUUUGUCCCACCAACCCUUCUUUAGCUGGCUUCAUCCCAAGUGUUGUUAAACAAAUCCCUUCGAAAGUCUAGCACGGCUGAAUCUUAACUUUAACAUCUCCACCCACCAAACCAGAAUCACGCCGCAGCCACUCUUAAAGGUAAAAAUUAGAACAUACAUACCUCUGGCCCUGAGCCAGGUCUGAGGCAAGACUUUUACUUUUGUUUUUCCGUCAGUUGUUUUCAUUUCAGAGGUCACCGUUCAGAAGAAAACAGGAAAACCUAGCACGAAUAUUUUCACGUAGGGAUAAUAAACAAUCACUUGUUCAUUAUUUUUGUUUAUAAAAGUUGACUUCCUUUAAUUCUCGAGAAAAAUGAAAUAAGAUGGGAGAAAAAUUAUUAAAAUGGAAUGUUUAAGAUUAGAUGGUCAAGAUAAUUUAUUCAUUGUAAAGGUAUUGAAAGAUGUUGUAAAGCCUCGAAUCAAAGUCUUCUUUAAUUGCUUGGGAUUGUGACCAGCUUGAAUUUAGGUAAGAAAAACUGCAUUAAAAAAUCUGUGAAUGGCUUAGAUACAAUCUCUUUCCUCUGUCACUUAAAGCAAAAAUAAAGUCUCCAUCUAUUUUUUUUCCAGGUUCAUUGAGAAAUUGGCAUAUAUCGCUGUAUAAGUUUAAGGUACAUAGCGUGAUGGUUUGAUUUACAUCUAUUGUGAAAUAAUUACUGCUGUAAGUUUAGUUAAUAUCAAUCAUCUUGUAUAGAUACAAUUAAAAGAAAAGAAAUAUAC
rnacentral:lncRNA from 1 species